AAUGAUAACUUGUGGAGGAGCAAACCAGGCAAAACACAUCCAAGUUCAAGAGGAAGUUGAACCUGGAAGCAAGGUCUGAGCAUUUUCAAAAUGACAGGAAAAUUGCAUCUGGAUUGUGCUAUGACUAAGGUGUUGGCGGUUUUUACAAAUUGAGGGCAAGAUCCUCCGCCAGCAAAAAUACUACGACUCUGCUUGUUUUAACGUGGUGGUCUGGAACCGAACUUCCGGUAUCUCGGAGGUAUGCCUGCAUUUGGAAGAUUGCACUGAGGUAUUCAGUAUCCUGCUCAUUGUAAUCCAGUCUGCCCUGGAGAGAACAUGAUAAUUACUUCAAUAACAAACCGGUGAUGAUCUAGAGGAAGAAUCAGGAGGCCCUGUAUCCCCUUCAAAGGUUGUCGGUACCCUUAGAAGACCUCUCCCUGGCACCAGGGCUUGUGCUAAGCUGACGAUUGCUGAGGAUGGAAGAAAUCCAGAUCCUAAUGUCUUCAGAUGGAAGGGCUCCGCUACCAACGUACACUGGCUUUUUUUUUAAUGACUGCUGGCUCAGUUGCAGUGAAGCUGUUGAUGUGUGAGCGGCACUGGGGUCAUGUCUACACCGUGUGGAAGCAGCCUGUCCGAGAGGACCCAGUUGAGCUUUGGAGGGAAGAGCAGGUUCUACUCCCAGGACAGAGACAACACUAACAGCUUGCCUGAUCAACCUGCAGAGCAUUUCUAAGGUGAACAGGAUGAUGCUGCCACAGAAAAGCAUUGGUUUCUGCCCAUGGACAUUGUAAAAGAUGGCCUCUAGGAUCUGAAGGCUGUCUUCCUCAAGAAACUUUCAAGCUGCAACCACCAAGAAAUAAACCCCACUAAUAACCUGGAAGCCUCUCUUUCCCCAUUUGAGUUCCAGUGUGACUGCAGCCCCGCUGAUACCUGAGUUGAAGCCCAGUGAGGACCUGUGUCCAAACUUCUGACCUGCAGAGACUAGGAGAUAAGGAAUAUGUGGUGGUUUAAGCCACUAAAUUUGUUGUGACUUGUUAUGUAUAAAUAGAAAGAUAAUAUACUUUGUUCUCAGUUUCUUCAAAUGGGACAUGAAAAAUAUGGUAUUUAGCUCACAGCAAUGUAUAAAAAAUUAAAUACAUGUUCAUUGGUAUAUUAUAUAUUUUGAAGUUGUUUUAUUUUUCCAUAUCUGAAUUUAAUUUUUCUGAGUUCUCAUUCCUUUAGGAAUGUAAAUUCAGUUCAUUCUUCAUUUUUUCUGGGGUACUGGCUUUGCAUCUAAUUUCAGGUAAAGGUAGCUAAAUAAUCACAAAGACCUUGGUCUUGCAGGAGGUUAUCUGGGUUGAGAUCAAGGCAUCCAAUGUGCCUUGCCUGUGGGGAAAAAAUGGUGUUUUGCAAGAGCAUCUUUUGAAAAAUGGAUUUGGAAAUUAACUUUCUUUCUGAACAAAUGUAACCUGGUGCUUUCUUUUGCAAUCCUUUCAGUAAUAAUGUUACUUUAUCUGUUUUUGCUGGAGAAGUACAUUUCUGAAUGAUGUCUAUGUAAUUUUGGACUGUACAUUUAUAGAGAUACAUUUAAAAAAUUUUAUCCCAGAAGUCACUGCUUUUCGCUUUCUCAGGAAAAAGAAACCAAAUGGUUUAUCUGAAGGUUCACAGUGUUUUGUUAGAAAAUUGCACAAAGUGCUGAUCUUUUAUUCCACUAGUGGAUAAAACUUCUUAACGAUCAAUGCACUAGAGACCACUGGUCCAAUAAAAUCCAUUUGUCAGAUGUACACACUUCUUUUGCUUCUGCUUUAAAAACUGUAACUCUCUUACAUUAAGUUACCCCAGCAAAACUGAUUCAUACUGUACACUUUUAUUAAUAUCUUAUUGUUUUUAAAUUUAUGUCAUUCUUAGUUAAGGUAUGUUGCACUAUUAAGUUAUUGAUUUAUUUUUAUAAAUUCAUAUUCAAUGCAAUAAUAAUUAACAAUGAAAAAAUACACUUAACCUCACAUUUAAAAUGUGUGAAAUAUAUCUAAAUAGCAUAUUUAAUUGCUAUUUUUUUCUCUGAAACUACUAGUUAGUAGUCUGUAGAAAACCAUCUGUGCUCUUUGGACCAAUCUGGAAGAAAGUAGAGAUAGGGAAGAAUGUAAAACAUGGCGUGUUGUAUGGGACGAGGUAAUACAUUGACACAUGAAAAAUAUAUUUCUAAUACUUCCUUUCCUAUCACCCAUUAAAACAUUACAAUCAAGCCUAAGUUUUCUAGGGUACAGGGUUUCCUUAUUGUCAGAGGAAUUAUCUCUUCAAAUUUCCAGAGCCUAUUUAUAGAAAAUCUUCAUUUAUCUGAUGAGUAUCUUAGCAUCAUUAAAAGCAGCAAGAAAAGUUGUGAUCUUCCUGUCAUGAAGAAGCUGCUGUGAAGGUCAAAUCUCUGGCCGAAAAGAUGCCAGGAGUUGGCAGAGAACACAGGACAAGACUAAUAGCUUCUCGUAGAAAAAGCAGUAAUGACAGUAAUGGCCAUUACCAUGCACUAAGGCCUCUUCCCACUUCCAGAGCCAGUAUAUAUCCCCUGGAACCCUGUCCUGUUCACCAUAAAUGGGCAAGGAGCCCCGAGAUUGGCCUGAGCCAGAUGUGUUAGUAGUCAUCAUGAGUAGAUGGGUUCUGAUAUUAGAUUUAACUCCACUGAGAAAUUGUAAAAUGUGUAUAUUUCUCACCUAUGAGUUCAAUGAAACAAAUUCUUAUCAGCUUAUAUGGCACAUACCUGAAAAUAAAAGUAAAAUCCUAGUGGAGAAUUAAGGAUUGAAAGAAGCCAGCUAGAAAAUUUAAAAUUUUAAAAACGGGGGGCCCCUUUGCUAGUAACAUAUUGUAAUAAGAUUGAAAUAUGUUUUUAUUAUGAACGAGUGUAAGUAUUCUUGACUCUACAAGUUUUAAAAUGCUGUCAUAUCAAGAUAGGAGAAUGGUGAGAAGAAAUUAUAAAGACUCAAUCUUUAUAUGGUUAUACAUCCUAGAAAAGAAUUAUCCUAAAGAUUUUGCCAGACUUACCCCUAACAGAAAUUCAGGAUCACAUAAGAUAUACCAUUGGUAUAGAUAACGAAACCUUUAUUCCUCAGUGGGCAAAAAACUGUACUUCCCUUAGGAGGCAGAUAAAAGGUUACUGGUGAAGCUGUGUUUAACUUUUUGUGUAGAUGCUAUAGUAGUUUACUGAUGACUGUGGACAUAUUUAAUUCAGGAGAUACUAUGAUUUUCAAAGAUAACUGAUUUUCUAUAUUGAAGUAGACAUUAAGAUAAUGUUUAAAAAGUUGUAAGGUUACUUUCUACCUAAAAAUGUUACAUUUUUGGCCAAUGCAACUUAAAUUGUCAUCUUGUUAGCUCAUAGUAAAAUGUUAUAUUCUGUUACUUAUUCCUGACAUUAAGUAAAAUAUAUGAACUAAAAACUAAAAGAGUUAAUAUUUGAAAUACAUCAUUUUUAUAAUAUGGACAGCUCUGCCCUUUUCUUCCUGAGAAUACUAUCCUCCACAUGUCUUUUUUUUUAUUCAGAACUGAUAUAAUGUUAAUAAUAUUCCACAUGUUAAUUAUCUAGAAACCAUAUGAAAAUGUUGGGGGUGGGGGAAAAAUGCAAACCAUCAAACAAACUAAUGAAAUAUUUUAACAUUAAAUUUCAAAGUACAAGAAAAUUACAAAAAACUUCAGCUACAGUAUCGUUAACUAAUACUACUUCAUGGAAAGACGUCCCCAUUUUGAAUUGUAAAUGAAGCAUCUUCCUUCUUAUUUCAAGUUACAAUUUGGGGAUAACCAAUUUCUCAGGAUUCUUCACAACUUUGUAUCUUUUGGAAGCAAAUAAACAAGGAUAAUUAUAAUUUUUGUGUUGAAAGCAUAAAAUGACUGGAUGGAAAACAUUUACAAAGAUGUGUGGGGCUUCCUUUUCCUAGUGAAGGGAGCCUAGGUUAUUGGAAUCAACUAAUCAACUAUAAAUUUAAGCACACCAGGAAGAAUGAACAAAAAAUAUCAAAAGGAUAUGAAAAGAACACAUUUUUAUUGAAAUUACAGAAAUCAAAGAGUAAAAAUGAAAGCAGACAAAAAUAACCCUCCAAUGACUGAUAUCUGACAGCCAGAAGACAACACAAAGUUCUUUAAUUUGCUGAAAAAAAUAUUUGGCUCCUCAGAAUUCUAUAACAGUGAAAAUAUCUGUCAGGUUUGGAGGGAAAAUGGCAUUGAGAUAAAUAAAAACUAACAGACCCAUCCAUACGAAAGGAAAUUCUAGAGGAAGCAUUUCCGGUAGCAGGAAAUGAUUCCAGUGAAGUGUGUGUGUUACAUAAAGUAAGGAAGAACAAAACUGAAAAAAGCAAAACCAAACUAAACAAAGAUGAAUUUUUAAAAAACACUGUGUGUAAAAUAACAUUUUUCCCACAAGGAGAGGAUGAGUGUAGCAAGUUAAAUCAUAGCUCCAGUGUUUAAAGUAUAUGGUGGGAAACAUUACUCAGGAGUGGGUCUCUUGUUUUGUUUUGUUUUUGUUUCUCUUUGAUGAACAUGUAAAGCUUGUAUAAGAAAAUAGUUAGAAAUUACAAAACUGACUAAGUAUACAGAUUAUUUUCACCAUUAAGAAAAAUUGAGUACAGUCCUCAAAUUUAAUGGGUGACUCUACUAGUGCUGUUUAGCAUCAUUGUUCACAACUUUGGAUAGUUUAGUACUAGCAUGUAUCAACAGAUGUUGUAAAUGAGCAAGGUUAAGUAGUCAACAUGCAUAACUUCAUAUUCUUCAUUGCUAUUCUAGUGGAAUUUUUGAUGAACUUUGUGCCAAAGAGCUCAGAGAGCACACAUACAGUAAAUGACAGAUGUGAUUUACUUCAAGAAAACAUUAAAACCAAAUUCAAUUUAUUGAUUUAUAUAAUAAUUACUUAGUUUAAAUUUAAGUGUAAUUAGUAUUUUAAAAAAUAAGCUUCUAGCAUAUUUAAGCAUAUUUCACAAAUAACAUGUUUUAAAAGGGUGGGGGCCAAAGGAGCACGUGAGUUCCAAUAAAGGUAUUUUUUUUUUGUUCGCUACUUCAGGAAAAAUUACUCACUUCUGAAAGAGUGAGCACUUUUCUUAAUCUUUAAAUAUAGGAUUUGUAUGAUUAACAGACAUCUCAUGAUUGAAUUAGAAAUAUUAACAUCAGCAAUGUGUUCCAAAUAUCCAUCACCAAAUGAAAUUUACUAAUAUCACUGCAUUAUAAUUUAUGAACUAUAUGACUGAGUAGUAAUGCUUGCUUGCAUAUAAAUUUUUUUAUAUUUCAUUAUGAUUAAAAUGUUUAUUAAAAUAACAUUUAUAUACUGUUUCUCCUUUCUAUCCCAUUUAACUGAUAUAUUAAACUCCCAGAUUUUUACCCCCUAGAAUCUUAUGAAAGGACUUUUAAAAUUUAGUUUUGGUUUUUAAAUAUAUUGUAAUAAUUCAGAGUUGCCACAUUUUGGCGAAAAGAUGUAUGACAGAAGAAACAAUUUUGAGCUGGAGGGCAGGAUGGCAUGUAAGGGGAAGAAGUGUGAGUUUUUUGUGUAUAUGUGAAUAAGGGAAAUUUAAUACUGCAAAUAUCACAUUGUGUGACUUAAAUCAGUUGUACAUGACUUGGUAAGUAACAUAAUAAGCAUUGAAUUGAUGGAAGCAGAUAAUGAGUCUAGCAGGUUUAAGUUAAUGAAAUAAAGUGAGUGAAAACAAGAUAGCUGCCUACUGAGACAAUAAAAGAUUGAGGGUACUGUAGGCUAAGGAAGUAACUGAGAUUAAAAACAAUGAUAAUAGUAAUAACAAUAAUAAAAAUGAUGUGAGAGCUAAAAGUCACUGCAUGAUUAGUAUAUGCAGGCUUUUUUUUAAACUGCUGAGUGACAAUUUCAAAUGGGAAGUAAAAUAGAGAAAAAACAAUUCUAUGUUCUCCAUAAAGAAAGAAAAAGUUAAGGUACUAAUAGAAGUGAAGGACUUAAGAUGGAAAAAUUCAUUCAUUCAACAGGUAUUUAUUGACUUUUCUAUAAUGUACAAAGAAUUAUGCUAUUUGAUGGGAAUGAAAGCAUAAAGAAUAAAUAUAGUUUCUACCUUUUUGAAAUUUAAAUUUGGUGGAUGAAAUGAGUAUUAAUUAAAUAUCCCACACAGAGACGUAAAAUUACAACCACAAUUAUUAAGCUUACAAAGAAGAGAUUUGUGAUGCUGGAAAGAACAUUAUAGAGAAAAUUCAAUCUUGUCAGAAAGACUGAAAAUGAUUUUCUGACAAUAUGAAUCCUGAGUUCAAUUGGAUAAAAUUACAGUAAGAAAAAGCACAGGUUUGACCAAAUCUUGAAUAUGUACACUUUAGGACUUAAUAGAAAAAUGUUUAAAAAACAUCAGGUAGAGCUGGUUUUUUGAGACUGAAGAAAGAGUGAAGAGAAGUUAAUGUAAAAAUCAGUCACUGGCCAAAUAAAAAUAUUCAAAUGAAAAUGUUAAAUUUGGGCCUUAGUUUUUUAUUAAAUAUGGUAUCUUGCUAAAUACUCAGAUGAUAGAUGUACUAGCUCAUUAUAUACUUUAAUUUUCUAGUGUCAUUAUGCAAUAAGAUUUUUCCAGAUAUAAAAUUUACCAUCUUCUAAAUAUCAUAUCUGUCAUUCAGGCCAUCUGAAUGACAUAAAUAAUGAGAUUAUUCCCACUCUAUUUUGUGUUAUAACACAAUGCACAUCCCUCCUACCAAGCAUUUUAUAUAAAUUAGUGCAAACUUUUAAAAAUUAUAUUUAUUUUUUUAGAGUAUGGACAAGGGAGGGAGAAAAAGAGGGAGAGAAACAUUGGUUGCCUCUCACAUGCCCCCAAAUGCAGGCCCCCAACUAGAAACUGGGCCCACAACCCAGGCAUAUGCCUUGACCAGGAAUUGAACUGGUGACCUUUUGCUCCUCUGGGUGAUGCACAACCCACUGAACCACACUGGUCAGGACUAAGUCACUGCAUACUUAAUGUUAAAUGUGAUUCUCACACUUGUGUAUGGACUCCAACACAGAGUUAUAUUACUUUAUUAGCCCAUUUACCACCUACUCUGCCCUACUAUUAGAUAAAUCUUUGAACCUGAGAUGUUUGGGAUUACUUCGGGUGGUAAUUUAAGCACCCUUCUGGUUUGCCAUUUAUUGUCUAUUUCGAAAACUGUUAUAUAUCUGUGGUCUUUAUUAAAAAAUUAAAUUGGUUUAAUCAGUACUGAUUAAGACAAUUAUUUGAUUCCAGUAAGAAAUUAUUAGUAGUGAAGGCAUAUCACUUUUCAGAGAAUUAUUUUUGUUAUAUAUAUAUAUUUAAAAAUAUAUUCCUUUUUAUAAUAUAUUUACCACAUAUAAGCAAUCAGACUCUUCUACUCUCAUUGUAUAUUGGAUAGGCUUUAAAAUUAUAAAUACUAUUCUGUAUGCCUAUUACUAGCAAUAGUAGGAAGUGAUUCACAUCUUUCAAAUUCGCCAAAUUUUAUAGCACAUAAUCAUAUAUACACACACUUUGGUGAUGUUAUAGAGGAAGUUAAAUGUAUUUAAAUUUUAUUAUUUUGUAAUGUUAGGUUCUAGAUAUCUCUUAAAAGGAAAGUCAGGCUUUCUCUUGAAAUGUAUUUAACAAUUUAGCAGAUAAAUUAUUUUGCCUAUAUUUCACCUCAUUUUUAAGUGUGUGGGAGGAAAAAAUCAAUGUAUUUUGAUCACUUAUACAGUAUUUAAAGUUUAUUAUUUUGUAAUGUUGGCUUCUCAAUAUAUGUAAAAUUCAGACUUUCUUCUUGAAAUAUAUUAAUUUAGCAGAUGAAUUAUUAUGCCUACAUGCUUUUCAUCUCAUUUUUAAGUGUGUGGGAAGAAGAACAAUAUAUUUUAUCACUUGCACCAAGUUAAUAUUCUAAUGUUUCAAAAACAUUAUGACUAGUACAAAUUACAGAAAAAUAUAAUCAGUAUUAUAAUAUUUCAUAUGGACCCCUUGAGUUUAUAGUUUUACAUGGAGUCUGGCAGAAGUAAGGCCUGCUUGAGUGUGUUGGUGGGUAAUAGUAUGGGUGUAAUAAUUUAUAGUUUUAAUUUGAACAUUCACCUAAAAUGUCACAUGGUAUGUUUGAGUGUGAUAUUGUCAUGUUACAGAAUU